rnacentral:rRNA from 1 species
GAGUUUGAUCCUGGCUCAGGAUGAACGCUGGCGGCGUGCCUAAUACAUGCAAGUCGAGCGAACGGACGAGAAGCUUGCUUCUCUGAUGUUAGCGGCGGACGGGUGAGUAACACGUGGAUAACCUACCUAUAAGACUGGGAUAACUUCGGGAAACCGGAGCUAAUACCGGAUAAUAUUUUGAACCGCAUGGUUCAAAAGUGAAAGACGGUCUUGCUGUCACUUAUAGAUGGAUCCGCGCUGCAUUAGCUAGUUGGUAAGGUAACGGCUUACCAAGGCAACGAUGCAUAGCCGACCUGAGAGGGUGAUCGGCCACACUGGAACUGAGACACGGUCCAGACUCCUACGGGAGGCAGCAGUAGGGAAUCUUCCGCAAUGGGCGAAAGGCCUGACGGAGCAACGCCGCGUGAGUGAUGAAGGUCUUCGGAUCGUAAAACUCUGUUAUUAGGGAAGAACAUAUGUGUAAGUAACUGUGCACAUCUUGACGGUACCUAA